rnacentral:rRNA from 1 species
CUACGGGCCGCUCCAGUGGGGAAUCUUAGACAAUGGGCGCAAGCCUGAUCCAGCCAUGCCGCGUGAGUGAAGAAGGCCUUAGGGUCGUAAAGCUCUUUCGCCAGAGAUGAUAAUGACAGUAUCUGGUAAAGAAACCCCGGCUAACUCCGUGCCAGCAGCCGCGGUAAUACGGAGGGGGUUAGCGUUGUUCGGAAUUACUGGGCGUAAAGCGCGCGUAGGCGGAUUAGUCAGUCAGAGGUGAAAUCCCAGGGCUCAACCCUGGAACUGCCUUUGAUACUGCUAGUCUUGAGUUCGAGAGAGGUGAGUGGAAGUCCGAGUGUAGAGGUGAAAUUCGUAGAUAUUCGGAGGAACACCAGUGGCGAAGGCGGCUCACUGGCUCGAUACUGACGCUGAGGUGCGAAAGUGUGGGGAGCAAACAGGAUUAGAUACCCCGGUAGUC